rnacentral:rRNA from 1 species
UGGGGAAUAUUGCACAAUGGGCGCAAGCCUGAUGCAGCCAUGCCGCGUGUAUGAAGAAGGCCUUCGGGUUGUAAAGUACUUUCAGCGGGGAGGAAGGCGAUAAGGUUAAUAACCUUGUCGAUUGACGUUACCCGCAGAAGAAGCACCGGCUAACUCCGUGCCAGCAGCCGCGGGAAUACGGAGGGUGCAAGCGGUAAUCGGAAUUACUGGGCGUAAAGCGCACGCAGGCGGUCUGUCAAGUCGGAUGUGAAAUCCCCGGGCUCAACCUGGGAACUGCAUUCGAAACUAGCAGGCUAGAGUCUUGUAGAGGGGGGUAGAAUUCCAGGUGUAGCGGUGAAAUGCGUAGAGAUCUGGAGGAAUACCGGUGGCGAAGGCGGCCCCCUGGACAAAGACUGACGCUCAGGUGCGAAAGCGUGGGGAGCAAACA